AAACAGAGAAUAAACCAAACCC
rnacentral:sRNA from 1 species